AGUGAACGCUGGCGGUAGGCCUAACACAUGCAAGUCGAACGGCAGCACAGUAAGAUCUUGCUCUUACGGGUGGCGAGUGGCGGACGGGUGAGGAAUACAUCGGAAUCUACUUUUUCGUGGGUGAUAACGUAGAGAAACUUACGCUAAUACCGCAUACGACCUACGGGUGAAAGCAGGGGAUCUUCGGACCUUGCGCUAUUGAAUGAGCCUAUGUCGGAUUAGCUAGUUGGCGGGGUAAAGGCCCACCAAGGCGACGAUCCGUAGCCGGUCUGAGAGGAUGAUCAGCCACACUGGAACUGAGACACGGUCCAGACUCCUACGAGAGGCAGCAGUGGGGAAUAUUGGACAAUGGGCGCAAGCCUGAUCCAGCAAUGCCGCGUGGGUGAAGAAGGCCUUCGGGUUGUAAAGCCCUUUUGUUGGGAAAGAAAAGCAGCAGGUUAAUACCUUGCUGUUCUGACGGUACCCAACGAAUAAGCACCGGCUAACUUCGUG
rnacentral:rRNA from 1 species